AGGGAUACGGCGUGUGGAUCUGGAGAGCGACGGCCGGUUGGACACUGCUGCACAACCUGGACGCGACCGACAUCCUGACGGCUGAUCUCGAUGGCAACGGUCAGGAGGAUCUCAUUCUGAAUUUCCCCGGCGCGGGGAUCUGGGUGCGAUACAACAACGCCACGUGGUAUCAGUUGCACACUCUGAACUCCACGGCUCUCGGCGCCGGCAACAUCGACGGCGACGGCGACCGCAAGUCAGACUUGAUCGUCAACUUCGCCGGACACGGGGUCUGGGUCUACGCGAACAACGCCCUCUGGGUCCAGCUCCACGUCAGCGAUGCCUUCGAUAUUCAGACGGGCGACUUUGACAGCAACGGUCAAGCCGACAUCGUGAUGAAUUUCGCGGGU
rnacentral:misc_RNA from 1 species